UACGGGGGGGGCAAGCGUUGUUCGGAAUUACUGGGCGUAAGGGCUCGUAGGCGGCCAACUAAGUCAGACGUGAAAUCCCUCGGCUUAACCGGGGAACUGCCUCUGAUACUGGAUGGCUUGAGAUUGGGAGAGGGAUGCGGAAUUCCAGGUGUAGCGGUGAAAUGCGUAGAUAUCUGGAGGAACACCGGUGGCGAAGGCGGCAUCCUGGACCAACACUGACACUGAGGAGCGAAAGCCAGGGGGGCAAACGGG
rnacentral:rRNA from 1 species